rnacentral:rRNA from 1 species
CCUACGGGUGGCAGCAGUGGGGGAUAUUGCACAAUGGGGGAAACCCUGACGCAGCGACGCCGCGUGAGUGAAGAAGUAUUUCGGAACGUAAAGCUCUAUCAGCAGGGAAGAAAAUGACAGUACCUGAUCAAGAAGCCCCGGCUAACUACGUGCCAGCAGCCGCGGGAAUACGUAGGGGGCAAGCGUUAUCCGGAUUUACUGGGUGUAAAGGGAGCGUAGACGGUUAUGUAAGUCUCGAGUGAAAGCCCGGGGCCCAACCCCGGGACUGCUUUUGAAACUGGGUAACUGGAGUGCAGGAGGGGCAAGCGGAAUUCCAGGUGUAGCGGUGAAAUGCGUAGAUAUCAGGAGGAACACCAGCGGCGAAGGCGACCUGCUGGACUGAAACUGACGUUGAGGCUCGAAAGCGUGGGGAGCAAACAGGAUUAGAUACCCCAGUAGUC